UACGUAGGGUGCGAGCGUUAAUCGGAAUUACUGGGCGUAAAGCGUGCGCAGGCGGUUCGUUGUGUCGGCGGGGAAAGCCCCGGGCUUAACCUGGGAAUGGCCGUUGAAACUGGCGAACUGGAGUGUGGCAGAGGGGGGUGGAAUUCCGCGUGUAGCAGUGAAAUGCGUAGAUAUCGGGAGGAACACCUGUGGCGAAAGCGGCGCACUGGACCACAACUGACGCUGAGGCGCGAAAGCUAGGGGAGCAAACAGG
rnacentral:rRNA from 1 species